UGGGGAAUAUUGCACAAUGGGCGCAAGCCUGAUGCAGCCAUGCCGCGUGUAUGAAGAAGGCCUUCGGGUUGUAAAGUACUUUCAGCGGGGAGGAAGGGAGUAAAGUUAAUACCUUUGCUCAUUGACGUUACCCGCAGAAGAAGCACCGGCUAACUCCGUGCCAGCAGCCGCGGUAAUACGGAGGGUGCAAGCGUUAAUCGGAAUUACUGGGCGUAAAGCGCACGCAGGCGGUUUGUUAAGUCAGAUGUGAAAUCCCCGGGCUCAACCGGGGAACUGCAUCUGAUACUGGCAAGCUUGAGUCUCGUAGAGGGGGGUAGAAUUCCAGGUGUAGCGGUGAAAUGCGUAGAGAUCUGGAGGAAUACCGGUGGCGAAGGCGGCCCCCUGGACGAAGACUGACGCUCAGGUGCGAAAGCGUGGGGAGCAAACA
rnacentral:rRNA from 1 species